rnacentral:rRNA from 1 species
CUCGUAGGCGGUUAGUCACGUCGGAUGUGAAAACCCAGUGCUUAACACUGGGCCUGCAUUCGAUACGGGCUGACUAGAGUGUUGUAGGGGAGACUGGAACUCCUGGUGUAGCGGUGAAAUGCGCAGAUAUCAGGAAGAACACCGGUGGCGAAGGCGGGUCUCUGGGCAACUACUGACGCUGAGGAGCGAAAGCGUGGGGAGCAAACA